GUCCCAUGAUGAGGACACUUACGAAGUAACUCCCUGAACGCUCCCAAGUCUCAUACAAAGACUCGUCAUCCAAUUGUUGGAAAGUUGUGAUCUCGCUCCUUAACUU
rfam:Gossypium raimondii Chr05_contig_443, whole genome shotgun sequence.